rnacentral:rRNA from 1 species
GGCCUUGUACACACCGAUCGCGGUUAGUGGAGACACUUUCCUUCAGUUCGGCUGGAUCGGAGACAGGUGCUGCAUGGCUGUCGUCAGCUCGUGUCGUUAGAUGUUGGGUUAAGUCCCGCAACGAGCGCGACCCUCGCCCUUGGUUGCCCUUAUUCAGUUAGGCACUCUAAGGGGACCGCCGGUGAUAAGCCGAGAGGAAGGUGGGGAUGACGUCAAGUCCUCAUGGCCCUUACGGGCUGGGCUACACACGUGCUACAAUGGUGGUGACAGUGGGCAGCGAGACCGCGAGGUCGAGCUGAUCUCCAAAAGCCAUCUCAGUUCGGAUUGCACUCUGCAACUCGAGUGCAUGAAGUUGGAAUCGCUAGUAAUCGCGGAUCAGAAAUCCGUGCGCUCUACAGAAAUCCGUGCGCUCUACCCUUGCUGCUGCUAAUUAAUUCAAUAUAUUCAUUCUGUGGGGAUCCCGUGGGGAACGCGAAGAACCUUACAAUACGGCUCACAAGAAGGGUCUUGUACACACCG